GUGUCUGUGUGUGUAUGUCAGUGUGUCUGUGUGUGUAUGUCAGUAUGUCUGUCAUACUGACAUACACACACAGACAUACUAACACACACACAG
rnacentral:miRNA from 1 species